GACGGAGGGUGCUAGCGUUGUUCGGAAUUACUGGGCGUAAAGAGCGUGUAGGCGGCCUGACAGGUCUGCUGUGAAAACUCGAGGCUCAACCUCGAGAUGUCGGCGGAAACCGUCUGGCUAGAGUCCGGAAGAGGAGAGUGGAAUUCCUGGUGUAGCGGUGAAAUGCGCAGAUAUCAGGAAGAACACCUAUGGCGAAGGCAGCUCUCUGGGACGGUACUGACGCUGAGACGCGAAAGCGUGGGGAGCGAACAGG
rnacentral:rRNA from 1 species